CAGAACUUUGAUUUGCUACAUGGCUUUGACAUUUGUCCAGGCAGCAGUCCUAGAGUUUGCUGCAAGUUGAGAGUACGCUGCAAGUUGAGAGUUUGCAAGUUGAGAAUUAAUCAUUUCAAAAAAUAACAGUUGCACUUCAGUUCACUUUUUUUCACGGCCACCAUAUUCUGCUAAGUUCAGAUUCAUAAAAUUAUUUAAAGAACUAAAGCAGAUGAAUGACUCAGCUGUCUAGCUUUCAGUACUUAAUGCCUUCUUCUGUGUACAAAUACUGGAAUGUUUCCAUUCUAUUUGCCAUGUUCAUUUGCAUCAAUAGGGGAAGUCUUGUAAUAUCAGAUGUCCAAGAUCACCUUUGAUAUCAGGAAACAAUAAACAGUGUAUUAAGCUACUUAUGAUAAAAAGGUGUCCGCAUUAAGUUAUGUGAGGUUCUUGAGGGGAUUAGCAGAAGUUCAUGCAGAAACAAGGAACCCAAAUCACUUGGGUCCUUGGUUACCCUUGAGGUCUGUUCCUAACACUGUUCACCAGGGGUCAGUACUCGGUCUGAUAUUGUUCAGCAUCUUCAUCAGUGACCUGGAUGAAGGGAUAGAGUGCACCCUAAGCAAGUUUACUGCUGAUACAAAGCUCGGAAGAGUGGCUGACAUACCGGAAGGCUGUGCUGCCAUUCAGCGAGGCUGGACAGGCUAGAGAGUUAUGACAAGUGAAGCUUGAACAACAAGGGCAAGCAUAGAAUUCUACACCUGGGCUCCACAGUUCAAGAAGGAAGGAGAAUAGGAUCCAGUGGAAGGCUACAUAGCCUGCCUACUGUCACAUCCUACAAAGCAAUUCCUGGACCAUCAUUUCAGCUUGUUUGAGAGAGAUGUCUCAUGUACAAGCAGCUCCUGACCAUCAGCAACAUGGUAGCGAAGUAUCUUGGUACCAGAAAAGAGAUAGUCUAUCCCAAUCUGUGUUGGACACACAGCUAUUUGCAAUUUUCAUCAGGGGAGUACAACAUCAAGACAUCUUUUCAUUUCCAUAUGGAGAAUGAAUGUUGAUCAUUCACUUUUGAGAUGAUAAGUGUGACAGCCAAGACAACUGUUUGAAUGACCUAUCAUAAAAUGGCAAAGGGUCACUGUGCAGACUGCCAAGACUACAUAGAUCCUCAUACCCCAUAAAAUAAGUUGAACAUCCUCCUGACCAACUCCCAGAACUAUUCUGAGCCAACAACAGCACAGAGAGAGGGCAGGACUGCCUGGAGGGCUGACACUAUGUAUAGAAACCACCUACAAUCUAGAGUCAGCCAGAAUCUCCCAGGAAUCCAAGAGUAAUGAUAUCACCUCAUGUUUGUAAUCUCCCUAUCUCUCCUUUUUACUCUCUCUCUUCAUUUUAUCACUCUCUAUUUCUUACCCCACUAAGUUUGUUGCAUUGCAUGCAUCCUCUCUCUCUCAUUUAAAUCUAGUGAAAGUUGCCACUACUGAGUAGGAGUGUGCCUUGGAUACACCCUGAGGAUCAUCAAAAAGAUUCACCUACCCCGAUACCCACUGUGUGGGACAAAGAGAGUUGCACUGACCAUCUGCUUUCCUUUUUACAUUAGUUUUUUUGUUUGUUUGUUUGUUUGUUUGUUUUUGAACCCAAAAGUUUUGUUUUGUCAAAAAAUGAAAUAAAGAAAUG
ensembl:lncRNA